CAAGAAAAACGGCUUGUUGAUUCCCUUUUUGGGGGUAGGAAAGUCCGGACACCAUAGGGCAGCAAAGCGGAUAACUUCCGUCGGUCGCAAGAUCAGGACCAGUGCAACAGAAAGGAUGUAUAUUAAUUUAUAGUGAAAUCAGGUAAACUCUUUGCGGUGCAAUGUUAAGUAUAUCGGCAACUAAGAGCGGCUCGUUCAAUGCCGAGGGGUAAACAGCUCAAGUUCUGCAGCAAUGCUGAACGUAGAUAAAUAACAGGCGCUCCGCUUUUGUGGAGUACAGAAUCCGGCUUAUAGUUUUUCUUGUGGU
rnacentral:RNase_P_RNA from 2 species